rnacentral:rRNA from 1 species
AGCUCCAAUAGCGUAUAUUAAAGUUGUUGUGGUUAAAAAGCUCGUAGUUGAACCUUGGGCCUGGCUGGCCGGUCCGCCUCACCGCGUGCACUGGUUCGGCCGGGCCUUUCCUCUGCGGAACCCCAUGCCCUUCACUGGGCGUGGCGGAGAAGCAGGACUUUUACUUUGAAAAAAUUAGAGUGCUCCAGGCAGGCCUUUGCUCGAAUACAUUAGCAUGGAAUAAUGAAAUAGGACGCGUGGUUCUAUUUUGUUGGUUUCUAGGACCGCCGUAAUGAUUAAUAGGGACAGUCGGGGGCAUCAGUAUUCAAUUGUCAGAGGUGAAAUUCUUGGAUUUAUUGAAGACUAACUACUGCGAAAGCAUUUGCCAAGGAUGUUUUCA